GCCCAGUUCAAAGCAUUAUGUUCAUUUGUGGAUCUUGCUUUCAUUGCAAGAGGUUCAUUCUGUAAAGACCAGUACAUAGCAUUUUGUUCACUGUGGAUCCUGCUUUCAUUGUAAGUGGUUUAUUCUGUAAAGCUUAGUGCAUGGCAUUCUGUUCAUUGUGGACCCUUUCAUUGCAAAUGGUUCAUUCUGUAAAGCCCAGUGCGUGGCAUUAUGAUCCUUAUGGAUCCCCCUUUCAUUGCAAGGGGUUCAUUCAAUAAAGCCCAGUACUUACCAUUGUGCUAAUUGUGGACCCUAGGAUUGUGCUCAUUGUGGACCCUUAUUUCAUUGCAAGUGGUUAAUUCUAUAAAGCCCAGUACAUGGCAUUGUGACCAUUAGGGACCCUUUCAUUGCAAGUGGUUGCUUCUGUAAAGCCCAGCUCAAAGCAUUAUGUAGAUAGAUGUCACGAGUGACAACCUUUGUGUGUUUGAGAAAUAAGAAUAAGAUUCAUAGAUAGAUAGAUAGAUGGAUGUCACGAGUGACAACUUUUGUGUUUGAUAAAUAAGAAUAAGAUUCAUAGAUAGAUAGAUAGAUAGAUGUCACGAGUGACAAACUUUGUGUGUUUGAUAAAUAAGAAUAAGAUUCAUAGAUAGAUAGAUAGAUGUCACAAGUGACAACCUUUGUGUGUUUGAGAAAUAAGAAUAAGAUUCAUAGAUAGAUAGAUAGAUAGUCACAAGUGACAACUCUUGUGUGUUUGAGAAAUAAGAAUUAGAUAGAUAGAUGUCACGAGUGACAACCUUUGUGUGUUUGAGAAAUAAGAAUAAGAAUCAUAGAUAGAUAGAUAGACAGACAGACAGAUAGAUAGAUGUCACAAGUGACAACUCUUGUGUGUUUGAGAAAUAAGAAUUAGAUAGAUAGAUGUCACAAGUGACAACUUUUGUGUGUUUGAGAAAUAAUAAUAAGAUUCAUAGAUAGAUAGAUAGACAGACAGACAGACAGACAGAUAGAUAGAUGUCACAAGUGACAACUCUUGUGUGUUUGAGAAAUAAGAAUUAGAUAGGUAGAUGUCACGAGUGACAACCUUUGUGUGUUUGAGAAAUAAGAAUAAGAUUCAUAGAUAGAUAGAUAGAUAGACAGACAGAUAGAUAGAUAGAUAGAUGUUACAAGUGACAACUCUUGUGUGUUUGAGAAUUAAGAAUAAGAUAGAUAGAUGUCACGAGUGACAACUUUUGUGUGUUUGAGAAAUAAGAAUAAGAUUAAUAGAUAGAUAGAUAGAUGUCAUGAGUGACAACCUUUGUGUGUUUGAGAAAUAAGAAUAAGAUUCAUAGAUAGAUAGAUAGUCACAAGUGACAACUCUUGUGUGUUUGAGAAAUAAGAAUUAGAUAGAUAGAUGUCACGAGUGACAACCUUUGUGUGUUUGAGAAAUAAGAAUAAGAAUCAUAGAUAGAUAGAUAGAUAGAUAGACAGACAGACAGAUAGAUAGAUGUCACAAGUGACAACUCUUGUGUGUUUGAGAAAUAAGAAUUAGAUAGAUAGAUGUCACAAGUGACAACUUUUGUGUGUUUGAGAAAUAAGAAUAAGAUUCAUAGAUAGAUAGAUAGAUAGAUAGACAGAUAGAUAGAUAGAUAGAUAGAUAGAUAGAUAGAUAGAUAGAUAGAUGUUACAAGUGACAACUCUUGUGUGUUUGAGAAUUAAGAAUAAGAUAGAUAGAUGUCAUGAGUGACAACUUUUGUGUGUUUGAGAAAUAAGAAUAAGAUUAAUAGAUAGAUAGAUAGAUAGAUAGAUAGAUAGAUAGAUAGAUAGAUAGAUAGAUGUCAUGAGUGACAACCUUUGUGUGUUUGAGAAAUAAGAAUAAGAUUCAUAGACAGACAGACAGACAGAUAGAUAGAUGUCACAAGUCACAACUUUUGUGUGUUUGAGAAAUAAGAAUAAGUUAGAUAGAUGUCCUGAGUGACAACUUUUGUGUGUUUGAGAAAUAAGUAUAAGUUAGAUAGAUGUCACGAGUGACAACUUUUGUGUGUUCGACAAAAUGGUACGCAAAAAUGUCAAAAUCCUUCAGCAGCAGGAAUAAUUAUUUAUUUCUCUUACAAAAUCAAAACAGUUUAUACAAUAGGUUAACUAAACAAAGGUACAGAAACGGAAAAUCAACCGUAUAAAUGAUGCAACUCCCAACCAAUCACCCUGUAUUAACAUUUUUAGACAUGGGAGAAGAAGUCAAUCUAGGUUAAUUCUAGAUGUGUAGACAAGGCCUAGAAAUCUGGGAAACCAAGAGUUCAAGCUUAGUCAUCAACUCCCAAAAAUAUGAGCAAUACAUUUCUUUAAAAACACAUACAACUGACCUCUUCCCAUACAAUAUACACACAUGACAAAGGAUCUGAUAGAAUAAAUAGCAUUAAAUAAAAGGUGUCUGGUCCCCAACCAAUCCUGGGAGCCAAAGUGUACUGAUUCGCCUCCAAAAUUUUGGAGGGAAAGACAAAUUUGGCUCCCCGUGACAUCGGAAAAGGGGAGCGAAUGUGCAAAAAUACAGCUAAAACGUGAGCGGAUUUGGAGACUCGAAGCCGGGUCGUGGUCUCGUGUCUCGUUGGUUCUCGUGCGCAAACACCGCCCCGAAUAUGUCCUCGUGGUAUCGCUUUUGUCUCUGUAAACAAAAUGAUACAAAGGGAAUUGACCAUUCGUAAUAGCAUUUGUAUUGUUCUCGUAUCAUUUCUUAAUACAGUCGGACCCCAUGAAAAGAAUGAGGUUGGUAGAUACCAUAACUUUGUGACUCAUGGGUUGCCUAAAGACUCAUUAGUCAACCUAGCUGACUUCUCUAGGUAGAAUGAGGUUGGUAGACACCAUAACUUUGUGACCCAUGGGUUGCCUAAAGACUCAUUAGUCAACCUAGCUGACUUCUCUAGGUAGAAUGAGGUUGGUAGACACCAUAACUUUGUGACCCAUGGGUUGCCUAAGGACUCAUUAGUCAACCUAGCUGACUUCUCUAGGUAGAAUGAGGUUGGUAGACACCAUAACUUUGUAACCCAUGGGUUGCCUAAGGACUCAUUAGUCAACCUAGCUGACUUCUCUAGGUAGAAUGAGGUUGGUAGACACCAUAACUUUGUGACCCAUGGGUUGCCUAAAGACUCAUUAGUCAACCUAGCUGACUUCUCUAGGCAGAAUGAGGUUGGUAGACACCAUAACUUUGUAACCCAUGGGUUGCCUAAAGACUCAUUAGUCAACCUAGCUGACUUCUCUAGGUAGAAUGAGGUUGGUAGACACCAUAACUUUGUAACCCAUGGGUUGCCUAAAGACUCAUUAGUCAACCUGGCUGACUUCUCUAGGUAGAAUGAGGUUGGUAGACACCAUAACUUUGUGACCCAUGGGUUGCCUAAAGACUCAUUAGUCAACCUAGCUGACUUCUCUAGGUAGAAUGAGGUUGGUAGACACCAUAACUUUGUGACCCAUGGGUUGCCUAAAGACUCAUUAGUCAACCUAGCUGACUUCUCUAGGUAGAAUGAGGUUGGUAGACACCAUAACUUUGUAACCCAUGGGUUGCCUAAAGACUCAUUAGUCAACCUAGCUGACCUCUAGGUAGAAUGAGGUUGGUAGACACCAUAACUUUGUGACCCAUGGGUUGCCUAAAGACUCAUUAGUCAACCUAGCUGAUUUCUCUAGGUAGAAUGAGGUUGGUAGACACCAUAACUUUGUGACCCAUGGGUUGCCUAAAGACUCAUUAGUCAGCCUAGCUGACUUCUCUAGGUAGAAUGAGGUUGGUAGACACCAUAACUUUGUUGUCUGGUCCCAAGAGGAUCUUCACCUUUACAUUGUGACCCAUGAUUUGUACAAACCAACGUAAUAUCACAAUAUUAUGGUACCCACUUCAUUUUAGGGUUAGGGUCCACAUUCUACUUUUCCACCUGCCUACCUUCAGCUGGAAGCAGUAGUCCUCCGCUUGCUCUUCCGUUAAGCCCAGCUGCUUAGCAAACAUCUCCUUCAUGGUUUUGGCCACGGCCCUGGCCAUGCGGACGUCCCCACAGACGUACAGGUGACCUUCCUCCUCAUGUAGGAGUUGGCACACUUUGGAUGCCAGAGCCUUCUGAAGAAGAUCUUGCACAUAGACCUGUGGACGGGAAACUCAACAGUUAGCUCACUGCACUUAUUAGAAUUCUAUAUGAAUCACAACAAAGAAAUAUAAUAAUUUUUUAUUAGACCAUAUACUUAUAGGUUGUCAUGUAUCUCAAUAACCUUGAGUCUUUCAUCUCUGAGCAUAGAUCAUCCUUGCUGCUGUUGUCAUGUAUCUCAAUAACUUUGAGUCUUUCGUCUUUGAGCAUAGAUCAUUCUUGCUACAGUUGUCAUGUAUCGCAAAAAUCCCCAUUUUCUAUCAGAUAAAGUUCAGGUGUUAUUUAACUCUAAGCCUCUCACGUUUUCUAAUUGGAUCUGAGCCCUUCCACUUAUGGUUCCCCAAAUCUGUCCUUCUUUCCAACUAUGCAAUGGAGCCUUACUUUGGGACGGCCUGGCUCUCUGGAGUAGGCAGUGUGGAUCCCUUGGAAGAUGCCUUUCCGGAGCAUCUCCUCCAUGUCGUCUUUGUAGAGGUGGUCCAGGUUGGCGUGCCGGCAGCCAAACAGGAGCAUCAUCCCUCUCCCUCGGAUGCCUACAAACCGGAGGAACCAAGUCAGUUGGCUUGCUAAGCCAAUCAAAGACCUGGGCCAAGCUUGGCACAUAGAACCCCCAUGACCCACUCAACCUACUGGAAGGGUUUGAGGGGACUGACUCACCAGAGUGGGUGUUGUAGUUCACCCACAACCAGAGGAACGGUGACCUCCACUGGUGAUGGACCUGGACCAAACUUGGCACCCAGAACCCCCAUGACCCACUCAACCUACUGGAAGGGUUUGAGGGGACUGACUCACUAGAGUGGGUGUUGUAGUUCACCCACAACCAGAGGAACGAUGACCUCCACCGGUGAUGGACCUGGACCAAGCUUGGCACACAGAACCCCCAUGACUCACUCAACCUACUGGAAGGGUUUGAGGGGACUGACUCACCAGUGUGGGUGUUGUAGUUCACCCACAACCAGAGGAACAGUGACCUCCACCGGUGAUGGACCUGGACCAAACUUGGCACCCAGGACCCCCAUGACCCACUCAACCUACUGGAAGGGUUUGAGGGGACUGACUCACUAGAAUGGGUGUUGUAGUUCACCCACAACCAGAGGAACGGUGACCUCCACCGGUGAUGGACCUGGACCAAACUUGGCACACAGAACCCCCAUGACCCACUCAACCUACUGGAAGGGUUUGAGGGGACUGACUCACCAGAGUGGGUGUUGUAGUUCACCCACAACCAGAGGAACGGUGACCUCCACCGGUGAUGGACCUGGACCAAACUUGGCACCCAGAACCCCCAUGAUCCACUCAACCUACUGGAAGGGUUUGAGGGGACUGACUCACCAGUGUGGGUGUUGUAGUUCACCCACAACCAGAGGAACGGUGACCUCCACCGGUGAUGGACCUGGACCAAGCUUGGCACACAGAACCCCCAUGACCCACUCAUCCUACUGGAAGGGUUUGAGGGGACUGACUCACCAGAAUGGGUGUUGUAGUUCACCCACAACCAGAGGAACGGUGACCUCCACCGGUGAUGGACCUGGACCAAGCUUGGCACACAGAACCCCCAUGACCCACUCAUCCUACUGGAAGGGUUUGAGGGGACUGACUCACCAGAAUGGGUGUUGUAGUUCACCCACAACCAGAGGAACGGUGACCUCCCCCGGUGAUGGACCUGGACCAAACUUGGCACCCAGAACCCCCAUGACCCACUCAACCUACUGGAAGGGUUUGAGGGGACUGACUCACCAGAGUGGGUGUUGUAGUUCACCCACAACCAGAGGAACGGUGACCUCCACCGGUGAUGGACCUGAACCAAACUUGGCACAUAGAACCCCCAUGACCCACUCAACCUAGUUUACUCUAUAACCAGAGAGCACACCGAACCCCACCGAUGAUGCAUCCAGAGCAAAUUUUAAACAUACCUUUGAUUUCCAGGUCAUAGAGACGUUGUUGCCAGAAGCUUCUGAACGGAGCGAUCCCUGUCCCUGGGCCAAUCAAAAUGCAUGGUUUUUGGAAAUCUUUGGGAAGUCGAAAUCCAUCGGCACUAAAUAACGCAGCAGAAGGGAGAUAAAGUUGUGUUAUUCCAAGAGCGAGCAGCCUUCAUGCUACCCUGUUUCCCCUAAAAUAAGACAUCCCCAGAAAAUAAGACCUAGUAGAGGUUUUGCUGAAUUCCUAAAAAUAAGGCCUUCCCCGAAAGUAAGACCUAGCAAAAGUUUUGUUUGGAAGCAUGCCCGUCGAACAGAACACCAGACCAUGCAGGAUUGGUAAAUGUACAUAUCAUAGAGUGUUGUACAUGGAAAUAAUGGUAGUAACAAGAAAUUCUUGAUAGGAUUCACAGUUUGUCUGGUUAUGCUGGUUUAUUUUUGUUCAAUAAUAAAUGUGAAUUCUUCGUCAUGGAAAAAUAAGACAUCCCCUGAAAAUAAGACCUAGUGCAUCUUUGGGAGCAAAAAUUAAUAUAAGACACUGUCUUAUUUUUGGGGAAACACGGUAUCCACCUGCAUUGAUCAAUAUCAAUAGACCGUUCUAGCAAUUAUCAUCUCCCCAAGGAACCGUCGUUUUGUAAAGCUAAGGGAACUUAAUUGCCCAACCAAGACAUCCAUGUUUUUAUUAGUUCUUGUCAUUUGUUUUUAAUGGUUAAUGUUUAAAUUUUUAUAAUUGUGCAUAUCUUUUAUCUGUUGUUGUGUUUUAUAUUGCUAUUGUUUUUAUUCGGGCUUGGCCCCAUGUAAGCCGCCCUGAGUCCCCUUUGGGGAGAUAGAGGUGAGAUAUAAAAAUAAAGUUGUUAUUAUUAUUA